rnacentral:lncRNA from 1 species
AAAAGUAUCAAUACUGGAUUGAGAAAUCAGAUCAGUGGUGAACUGUUGAAUCAUAUGACUAUAUGCUACUAAGUGAGGAGUAUCUGCAAGUACAUAACUAAGAAUAAUGAUGAAAUUUUACAUCAUUUCAAGAAGCUAAGACCCAUGAAAAAAAGAGAGCACCUAAAUUAUCCGGUACUGUAGCGAUCUAGCAUGAUAGUAUAUAUGUAAUAUGCUACAUAUAGCGAUUAGGAUUAAAAAUGUAUAAUCAAUUUUAGUUUUGUGUCCUUUAUAGACCUUUUAUUUUAUUUUAUUUAUUUCCCAACUUAUACUCUAGCUGUCUACCUAGUACCCUACUCUUGGCAAAAUGCUACCUAUGCUUUCCACCGGUAAGAAACGGCUUUCUCUAUUCUUU